UGGGGAAUUUUCCGCAAUGGGCGAAAGCCUGACGGAGCAAGACCGCGUGGGGGAAGAAGGCUCUUGGGUUGUAAACCCCUUUUCUCUGGGAAGAAAGUUGUGAAAGCAACCUGACGGUACCAGAGGAAUCAGCAUCGGCUAACUCCGUGCCAGCAGCCGCGGUAAGACGGAGGAUGCAAGCGUUAUCCGGAAUGAUUGGGCGUAAAGCGUCCGCAGGUGGCAGUUCAAGUCUGCUGUCAAAGACCGGGGCUUAACUUCGGAAAGGCAGUGGAAACUGAACAGCUAGAGUAUGGUAGGGGCAGAGGGAAUUCCUGGUGUAGCGGUGAAAUGCGUAGAGAUCAGGAAGAACAUCGGUGGCGAAGGCGCUCUGCUGGACCAUAACUGACACUCAGGGACGAAAGCUAGGGGAGCGAAUGGGAUUAGAUACCCCAGUAGUCCUAGCCGUAAACGAUGGAUACUAGGUGUUGUCUGUAUCGACCCGGACAGUG
rnacentral:rRNA from 1 species